GACGAACGCUGGCGGCGUGCUUAACACAUGCAAGUCGAACGGAAAGGCCCUGCUUUUGUGGGGUGCUCGAGUGGCGAACGGGUGAGUAACACGUGAGUAACCUGCCCUUGACUUUGGGAUAACUUCAGGAAACUGGGGCUAAUACCGGAUAGGCGCUCCUGCUGCAUGGGGGGGGUGGGAAAGUUUCGGCGGUUGGGGAUGGACUCGCGGCUUAUCAGCUUGUUGGUGGGGUAGUGGCUUACCAAGGCUUUGACGGGUAGCCGGCCUGAGAGGGUGACCGGCCACAUGGGGACUGAGAUACGGCCCAGACUCCUACGGGAGGCAGCAGUGGGGAAUAGUGCACAAGGGGCGGAAGCCUGAUGCAGCAGCGCCGCGUGCGGGAUGACGGCCUUCGGGUUGUAAACCGCUUUCGCCUGUGACGAAGCGUGAGUGACGGUAAUGGGUAAAGAAGCACCGGCUAACUACGU
rnacentral:rRNA from 1 species